rnacentral:RNase_P_RNA from 1 species
UGGGCUGGCCGGGCGACCGCGGCGCACACCCCCACGGGGGCGGACGUCGAGGAAGGUCCGGGCUCCACAGGGCAGGGCGGUGGGUAACACCCACCCGGGGAAACCCGCGGGACAGUGCCACAGAGAACAGACCGCCACUGCCUCACGGCAGCGGUCAGGGUGAAACGGUGGUGUAAGAGACCACCAGCGCGGCGGGCGACCGUCGCGGCUCGGCAAACCCCGCCUGGAGCAAGGUCAAGAAGGACCCUCCCCGGAGGGUCCGCGCGGACGAGGCGGCCCGCCUCAUCGUCCGCGGGUGGACUGCAGGAGGCGGCCGGCAACGGUCGUCGUAGAUGGAUGGUCGCCCACCGGGCGCCGGCAACGGCCCCGGGGACAGAACCCGGCCUACAGGCCAGCCCGUCCG